rnacentral:tRNA from 1 species
GCUGUUUUGGCUCAGUGGCUAGAGCGUCAGCCUGAAGACUGAAGGGUCCUGGGUUCAAUUCCAGUCAAGGGCA